ACACACCAUUACACAAUACACACUCCACUAGUGCACACACUACACAUACACACCACUACACACACACCAUUACACACACUACACACACACCACUACACACACCACUACACGCACACACUACACACACUACACACCAUUACACACACCACUACGCACACCACUACACGCACACAUUACUUACACACACCACUAUGCACACUACACAUACACACCAUUACACACACACACCAUUACACACU
rnacentral:lncRNA from 1 species